GUAAGGAAUAUUGGUCAAUGGAGGCAACUCUGAACCAGCCAUGCCGCGUGCAGGAAGACGGCCCUAUGGGUUGUAAACUGCUUUUAUACGGGAAUAAACCUCUCUACGUGUAGAGAGUUGAAUGUACUGUAAGAAUAAGGAUCGGCUAACUCCGUGCCAGCAGCCGCGGUAAUACGGAGGAUCAAAGCGUUAUCAGGAUUUAUUGGGUUUAAAGGGUGCGUAGGCGGCCUAUUAAUUCAGGGGUGGAAGACGGUGGCUCAACCAUCGCAGUGCCCUUGAUACUGUUGGGCUUGAGUACACUUGAGGUAGGCGGAAUGUGACAAGUAGCGGUGAAAUGCAUAGAUAUGUCACAGAACACCAAUUGCGAAGGCAGCUUACUAAGGUGUCAAUGACGCUGAGGCACGAAAGCGUGUGGAUCAAACAGGAUUAGAUACCCGGGUAGUCC
rnacentral:rRNA from 1 species